AGCGGCCCAUUCGCGCUCGCUUUGUUCGGUGGCUUGCAUCUCACGGCCACGGCUUCCUCUUCCUCUCCUCUCGUUUCCGGAAGGAAACCCUAAGUUCGCAUUCUUCUGCACCUCCGCGACGAUGGUGUUCUACAUCCUCGACUUCACUGCGGAGCUCGAGAACCUUACCAACCUCCAGCAGCGGGGAGGCUGCAGCGAUCCCAAUUACACAUAUUACUUCAAGGUGAAGUGCGAGAACUGUGGGGAGAUCAGCCAGAAGGAGACCUGCGUGGUGCUGUCUGAAUCGGUCCCGCUCCCCAAUGGAAGGGGUACUGCCAAUCUCGUGCAGAAGUGCAAGCUUUGUGGGAGAGACGGAACAAUUCAGAUGGUUCCUGGACAUGGUGAACCAUUGACAAUUGAACGUAGCCAGGCUGGGAUCAGGUCCAAAUUGAUGGUCUUCGACUGCAGGGGCUUUGAACCUGUUAACUUCUCUUUUGAAAAUGGAUGGAAAGCAGAAUCUCUGAGUGGUACAAGCUUUGAGGUCGAUUUGUCUGAGGGUGAGUUUGCAGAUUAUGAUGAGAAAGGAGAAUGCCCCGUUGGCAUAACCAAUCUUCAAGCAUCUUUUAGAGUGGCAAAAAAGCAAGAGCGUGCAGGGAAGACAACCUUUGUUUGAUGUCAGCAUAUCCAGAAUCAAGAAUCUGCAAGAUGUAGAAAAAUAUGGUUUCAUUGUGUUUAACUUCUACAGGUUAAUGAUUGCCUGACUUGUUCUCAUCAUUAUGAUGAUAAUCAUGGGAAUUGAGCGGGAAUUUACUUAUGCUAUAGCAUCAACCAUAGCAGAGACAUUGUUCAUGGAUGCACUUGUGAUCUUCUAAUGUGUGCCAACGAUUUCGUAGUCAGUCAGCCGGCUAUCAGAUUAAUGUGAUACAUGUAUUUUAUACUUGAGCAUGAUUCAAAGAUACUGCCACUUGCAUUACUAGGUUGGGGCACCCAAAGUUCAAUAUCUGUAGGUGUUCUAAGCAGGUCAUAUUACCUUAAAUCUGCUAGGAUGUCGAGCAGGCAUUAGAUUUCUGCGCCUCUAGCCUUUCAAUUUGUUCCUAUGAUGUGUUUUUAAGGAUGAGAUUUCUGAGCCUGAUUUUUUUUUUCUCUCA